rnacentral:rRNA from 1 species
AACGAACGCUGGCGGCGUGCUUAACACAUGCAAGUCGAACGGUGAACGAGGGAGCUUGCUCCCUCCGGAUCAGUGGCGAACGGGUGAGUAACACGUGAGCAAUCUGCCCUGGACUCUGGGAUAAGCGUUGGAAACGACGUCUAAUACCGGAUACGAGGCGUGGGGGCAUCCCCAACGCCUGGAAAGAACUUCGGUCCAGGAUGAGCUCGCGGCCUAUCAGCUUGUUGGUGAGGUAACGGCUCACCAAGGCGACGACGGGUAGCCGGCCUGAGAGGGUGACCGGCCACACUGGGACUGAGACACGGCCCAGACUCCUACGGGAGGCAGCAGUGGGGAAUAUUGCACAAUGGGCGCAAGCCUGAUGCAGCAACGCCGCGUGAGGGACGACGGCCUUCGGGUUGUAAACCUCUUUUAGCAGGGAAGAAGCGAAGGUGACGGUACCUGCAGAAAAAGCACCGGCUAACUACGUGCCAGCCGCCGCUGUAACAC